UCGCCUUGGAAGUGGUAUACCUAGCGUUGAGAGUACAUUUUCCAAAUACUGAUAUCCUACUUUCAGGGUGAAACAUGAGUGGACAAGUGACAGCAAGGUAUAAAUCUAAAGAAAGAAAGGGUAAUCAAGAGGCUAACCAGCCGGCUCCACCUGUGGCUGUCCAGCAGCCGAGUGAUGAGCAACAUCAA